UCUAAUUUUGGUAGGAAUGCUUCCUACAUCCAGCAUAUUAUUAGCUUCCUUGUUGGUCAUUAUAAUAAACAAGGACAUCCAAGAUUUUUAUUGAAAUCAGACUGUUCAUAAACUAAACCGUUUAACACAGAUAAACAUUACAAAUCACAGCCAAAAAAACAAAAUAGCAUUCUACAAAUGCAAUCAGGAAUUAAUGGCAGGAAACAAAAACAAA